UGGGGAAUAUUGCACAAUGGGCGCAAGCCUGAUGCAGCAACGCCGCGUGAACGAUGAAGGUCUUCGGAUCGUAAGUUCUGUUGCAGGGGAAGAUAAUGACGGUACCCUGUGAGGAAGCCCCGGCUAACUACGUGCCAGCAGCCGCGGUAAUACGUAGGGGGCUAGCGUUAUCCGGAUUUACUGGGCGUAAAGGGUGCGUAGGUGGUCCUUCAAGUCGGUGGUUAAAGGCUACGGCUCAACCGUAGUAAGCCGCCGAAACUGGAGGACUUGAGUGCAGGAGAGGAAAGUGGAAUUCCCAGUGUAGCGGUGAAAUGCGUAGAUAUUGGGAGGAACACCAGUAGCGAAGGCGGCUUUCUGGACUGCAACUGACACUGAGGCACGAAAGCGUGGGUAGCAAACAGG
rnacentral:rRNA from 1 species